rnacentral:misc_RNA from 1 species
GCCUCUCGCCGUUGUAAGUGCUCUGUGCUAAUAGUCAGGAAUGUAUUUAUCAAAGGGUUGCUGACUAUGAGCACAGAGCACUUACAACGGCGAGAGGCUAAUUCACAGCACAUACAUCUGCUUCCACAACAAAACAUGAUCCUAAACUCGUCACAUGGAAACCACACCACUGUCUUUAACCCCUUUAACGAACAAAAAAAUAAAACAGACCUUCAGCGAUUAUGAGACCAAAAGAAAACAAGGAAAUGGUCAAUCAUUGAAUAGAAAUAUNNNNACCAAGAACUUUCAAAAGAACAACCAAUACAAUGCAUGAAGAAACUCUCUCUCCCUCUCUCUUGCCCUUUGCAUGUGUGAGAGCCAUUUUUGUUCAUGAAGAAACAGGCCAUGAUUAACAAAUUUUAUUGAACUUGAUGGCAAAUCUCAAGUUUACAUGUCAUCAACUUGUGAGUGGAACACAAAGCUUGGGAAUGUAGUGGUAAUAUCCUUGAGAUACUGAAGAGUCAUAUUUUUCAGAAGAGAUGGAUGGCGCAGAACAAGGCUUCUCCACUCUUCCUUGUCAAUCUUGCCGUCAUGUUUUGUAUCAGCUUCCUCAAAAGUCUUGUCAAUUAUACUUUCAAUGACGUCAUCUGAAAGGUUCAUACCAGAUUCAGC